GAGUCGGCCCCUAAGGCGAGGCCGAAAGGCGUAGUCGAUGGGAAACCGGUCAACAAUCCGGUACUGACGCGAACUGCGAUGGGGGGACGGAGAAGGCUAAGCCAGCCGGCGAUUGGUUGUGCCGGUUCAAGCGAGUAGGCAGACCGACCAGGCAAAUCCGGUCAGUCAAUGCCGAGACGCGAUAACGAGCCCUUUUAGGGCGAAGUGGCCAAUGCCCGGCUCCCAGGAAAAGCCUCUAAGCUUCAGGUUCGCGUCACCCGUACCCUAAACCGACACAGGUGGGCGAGGAGAGAAUCCUCAGGCGCUGGAGAGAACUCGGGUGAAGGAACUCGGCAAACUAGCACCGUAACUUCGGGAGAAGGUGCGCCCGUGGUAGGUGAAGGCCCUCGCGGCUGGAGCCGAAACGGGCCGCAGUGACCAGGUGGCUGCGACUGUUUACUAAAAACACAGCACUCUGCAAACACGAAAGUGGACGUAUAGGGUGUGACGCCUGCCCGGUGCCGGAAGGUUAAGUGAUGGGGUCAGCGCAAGCGAAGCUCUUGAUCGAAGCCCCGGUAAACGGCGGCCGUAACUAUAACGGUCCUAAGGUAGCGAAAUUCCUUGUCGGGUAAGUUCCGACCUGCACGAAUGGCGUAACGAUAGCCACACUGUCUCCACCCGAGACUCCGUGAAAUUGAACUCGCUGUGAAGAUGCAGCGUACCCGCGGCAAGACGGAAAGACCCCGUGAACCUUUACUACAGCUUUGCACUGGACUUUGAGCUUUCUUGUGUAGGAUAGGUGGGAGGCUUUGAAGCCGGGACGCCAGUUCCGGUGGAGCCAACCUUGAAAUACCACCCUGGAACGCUCGAGGUUCUAACCUCGGACCCUUAUCGGGUUCAGGGACCGUGCAUGGUGGGUAGUUUGACUGGGGCGGUCUCCUCCCAAAGAGUAACGGAGGAGUGCGAUGGUGCCCUCAGCGCGGUCGGAAAUCGCGCGUGGCGUGCAAAGGCGAAAGGGCGCUUGACUGCGAGACGGACAGGUCGAGCAGGUGCGAAAGCAGGUCUUAGUGAUCCGGUGGUUCCGUAUGGAAGGGCCAUCGCUCAACGGAUAAAAGGUACUCCGGGGAUAACAGGCUGA
rnacentral:rRNA from 1 species